rnacentral:rRNA from 1 species
AGCCUUUAGCAUAAACGAGUAUUAAAGGUGUUGCCUGCCCAGUGAAACUUAAACGGCCGCGGUAUCCUAACCGUGCAAAGGUAGCGUAAUCACUUGUCUUAUAAAUAAAGACCCGUAUGAACGGCUAAAUGAGUAUUUAACUAUCUCCUAAGACCAGUCAGUGAAACUGAUUUUACAGUACAAAAGCUGUAAUAAACACAUAAGACGAGAAGACCCUGUGGAGCUUUAAAUCCUAGCCAAGGUACGUAUAAAAACACACCAAUGGUAAACAAUUUUAAGUUGGGGCGACUUUGGAGUAUAACAAAACCUCCAAAAGGCACUGCCAAACAAGGCUUACACGCCAAAAACCACAUAGACCCAGUACUACUGAACAAUGAACCAAGUUACCCCAGGGAUAACAGCGCUAUCUUCUUCAAGAGUUCAUAUCGACAAGAAGGUUUACGACCUCGAUGUUGGAUCAGGACACCCAAAUGGUGCAGCCGCUAUUAAAGGUUCGUUUGUUCAACGAUUAAUAGUCCUACGUGAUCUGAGUUCA